CCCCGCAGUGCCGUAGUUAAACACAAUAAGCGCUCCGCCUGGGGAGUACGGUCGCAAGACUGAAACUCAAAGGAAUUGACGGGGGCCCGCACAAGCGGUGGAGUAUGUGGUUUAAUUCGACGCAACGCGAAGAACCUUACCAGGGCUUGACAUCCUCUGAAAGCCAUAGAGAUAUGGACCUUACCCUUCGGGGUAACAGAGAGACAGGUGGUGCAUGGUUGUCGUCAGCUCGUGUCGUGAGAUGUUGGGUUAAGUCCCGCAACGAGCGCAACCCCUAACAUUAGUUGCCAGCGAGUAAGGUCGGGAACUCUAAUGUGACUGCCGUUGACAAAACGGAGGGAGGUGGGGAUGACGUCAAAUCAUCAUGCCCCUUAUGUCCUGGGCUACACACGUACUACAAUGGCCGGUACAGACGGAAGCAAAGCCGUGAGGCGGAGCAAAUCUGAGAAAGCCGGUCCCAGUUCGGAUUGUAGUCUGCAACUCGACUACAUGAAGUCGGAAUCGCUAGUAAUCGCAGGUCAGCAUACUGCGGUGAAUACGUUCCCGGGCCUUGUACACACCGCCCGUCACACCACGAAAGCUGACAACACCCGAAGCCGGUGAGCUAACCGAAAGGAGGCAGCCGUCGAAGGUGGGGUUGGUGAUUGGGGUGAAGUCGUAACAAGGAAACCAA
rnacentral:rRNA from 1 species